rnacentral:rRNA from 1 species
AUUGAACGCUGGCGGCAGGCCUGACACAUGCAAGUCGAACGGUAACAGGAAGCAGCUUGCUGCUUCGCUGACGAGUGGCGGACGGGUGAGUAAUGUCUGGGAAACUGCCUGAUGGAGGGGGAUAACUCCUGGAAACGGUAGCUAAUACCGCAUAACGUCGCAAGACCAAAGAGGGGGACCUUCGGGCCUCUUGCCAUCGGAUGUGCCCAGAUGGGAUUAGCGAGUAGGUGGGGUAACGGCUCACCUAGGCGACGAUCCCUAGCUGGUCUGAGAGGAUGACCAGACACACUGGAACUGAGACACGGUCCAGACACCUACGGGGGGGAGCAGUGGGGAAUAUUGGCCAAUGGGCGCAAGCCUGAUGCAGCCAUGCCGCGUGUAUGAAGAAGGCCUUCGGGUUGUAAAGUACUUUCAGCGGGGAGGAAGGCGAUAAGGUUAAUAACCUUGUCGAUUGACGUUACCCGCAGAAGAAGCACCGGCUAACUCCGUGCCAGCAGCCGCGGUAA